CCGAAUGGGGCAACCCUCUCAUGUGAAAGCAUGAGAACCCGUCAGUGAGUAAAGUAGCUGGCGAGGAGCGAACCGAGGGAACUGAAACAUCUAAGUACCUCGAGGAAAAGAAAUCAACAGAGAUUCUGCUAGUAGCGGCGAGCGAACGCAGAUUAGGCCAAACCAUCAUGCGUGCAUGGUGGGGUUGUAGGACCUGCAUCAAGGGGAAGUUGCUAGAAGAAGUGUCUGGGAAGUCACACCAAAGAGAGUGAAAGUCUCGUAUUCGAAAGCGAUGGAACUGGGCGGGUAUCCUGAGUAGGACGGGGCACGUGAAACCCUGUCUGAAUCUGGGAAGACCACUUUCCAAGCCUAAAUACUACCUACGACC
rnacentral:rRNA from 1 species